UAAUACGGGGGGUGCAAGCGUUAUUCGGAAUUAUUGGGCGUAAAGGGCGCGUAGGCGGUCUUGUCGGUCAGAUGUGAAAGCCCAGGGCUCAACCCUGGACGUGCAUUUGAAACAGCAAGACUUGAGUACGGGAGAGGAAAGCGGAAUUCCUGGUGUAGAGGUGAAAUUCGUAGAUAUCAGGAGGAACACCGAUGGCGAAGGCAGCUUUCUGGACCGAUACUGACGCUGAGGCGCGAAGGCGUGGGUAGCGAACAGGAUUAGAUACCCUGGUAGUCCACGCAGUAAACGAUGUUCACUAGGUGUAGCGGGUAUUAAAAUCUGCUGUGCCGGAGCUAACGCAUUAAGUGAACCGCCUGGGGAGUACGGUCGCAAGACUA
rnacentral:rRNA from 1 species